CUCGGUUUGUAGUACAGACCUUAUGAAAGCAAUUUGAGUAAAGUAGUUCACUGUAUUAGCGUAUCCUUACUAGAUAUCUCUUCACCGCGAAUUUCCUUCUUUAGUGCCCCAUAAGUAUCACAACUAAAAAAACAGACCUCCCUCGCCUUAUGGCGGCUAAAAUUUAAAGGAAAUUAUUAUGUCUACUAAAAUGACUGGUUUAGUGAAAUGGUUUGACGCUGGUAAAGGUUUCGGCUUUAUCUCUCCUGCAGACGGCAGCAAAGACGUGUUCGUUCACUUCUCUGCUAUCCAGAGCAACGAUUUCAAAACUCUUGAUGAAGGUCAAAAAGUUGAGUUCUCUAUCGAGAGCGGCGCUAAAGGCCCAUCAGCAGUAAACGUUGUUGCACUGUAAUCAGUGAGCAACGGGGUAAUCUUA
rnacentral:sRNA from 1 species